ensembl:processed_transcript
UUUUUCAGGUUCUUUAGAUUACUUUAAAAAUCCAAUUUAGUUUUCUAAUAAGCAAAAAGUAAAGUCACUUUACCAAUGUCUAUACGUUAAAUUGCACUUGUCUCUCUCUCUAUCUCUGUUAACACCUUUGUAUUUGUUUGAUUAAUUCUGGUGUCUUUCAGCCUGUUUCUGCCUAUCACCAUGAGUGAUUCCUUGAUACUCAGAUUGAUAAUCAAGAUCUCAAUUAUAACCUCAAGUCUUGAUGACAGCUUGAUGAUCUCCAAGAAGCACCACCAUGUAAAGAAGGCCAAGACCACUCUGGAAUCAGUCAAGGGUGAAAUGGAGUGAGGCAUACCAGGAUAUGUGUGGUUUUACUCUUGGGAAGGAGGUUGAACAGUUCAAUAUUUCUUCUAUAGGAUUGGAGUGACCAGACAUGCUACUGUAACUCUCAUGGUCAUGUGCUGGAAUUAGCAGAUAUUCAACAAUUUGGCCAUCUCGCUGACCUGUUGAUUUCAGAAGACUGCAACAGCUCUGCAAAGCAAGUUGCAAAACACAAUCCAUGGAACUGGCAGUGACCGGAAACCAAUUGGAAGACUUUGGUCUGUGAUGUAGAGGAGAGGGCAGUAGCAGACGCAAAGACAACAAAAAACAGAAGUGAUAUGGAUGUCUUCGUCAUAUGGCAUGACUCUGUCGAUCCAGCAACAAAGAGGAGG